AACAAAAUGAGGAGGUCAUUAGAUCUGAAGUAUCUAACGUUGAUACAUCAUUCAUGGUCUUCAAAGUUCUCUGAUUGUU
rnacentral:snoRNA from 1 species